GGCGACCGGCGCACGGGUGAGUAACGCGUAUCCAACCUCCCGCAUACUCGGGGAUAGCCUUCUGAAAGGAAGAUUAAUACCCGAUGGUAUCUUAAGCGCACAUGCAAUUAAGAUUAAAGAAUUCGGUAUGCGAUGGGGAUGCGUUCCAUUAGGUAGUAGGCGGGGUAACGGCCCACCUAGCCAUCGAUGGAUAGGGGUUCUGAGAGGAAGGUCCCCCACAUUGGAACUGAGACACGGUCCAA
rnacentral:rRNA from 1 species